rnacentral:rRNA from 1 species
CUCACACGACCGUACCGCAAACCGACACUGGUGCGCGAGAUGAGUAUUCUAAGGCGCUUGAGAGAACUCAGGAGAAGGAACUCGGCAAAUUGACACCGUAACUUCGGAAGAAGGUGUGCCUUUAGUAGGUGAAGGGAUUUACUCCUGGAGCCCAAUGAUGUUGCAAAAAAUCGGUGGCUGCGACUGUUUAUUAAAAAUACAGCAUUCUGCAAACACGAAAGUGGACGUAUAGGGUGUGACGCCUGCCCGGUGCUGGAAGAUUAAAUGAUGGGGUGCAAGCUCUUGAUUGAAGUCCCAGUAAACGGCGGCCGUAACAAUAACGGUCCUAAGGUAGCGAAAUUCCUUGUCGGGUAAGUUCCGACCUGCACGAAUGGCGUAACGAUGGCCACACUGUCUCCUCCUGAGACUCAGCGAAGUUGAAAUGUUUGUGAUGAUGCAAUCUCCCCGCGGAAAGACGGAAAGACCCCAUGAACCUUUACUGUAGCUUUGUAUUGGACUUUGAACAGAUCUGUGUAGGAUAGGUGGGAGGCUUUGAAGCAGGGUCGCUAGAUCUUGUGGAGCCAACGUUGAAAUACCACCCUGGUGUGUUUGAGGUUCUAACCUAGGCCCGUAAUCCGGGUUGGGGACAGUGCAUGGUAGGCAGUUUGACUGGGGCGGUCUCCUCCCAAAGUGUAACGGAGGAGUUCGAAGGUACGCUAGUUACGGUCGGACAUCGUGACGAUAGUGCAAUGGCAUAAGCGUGCUUAACUGCGAGACUGACAAGUCGAGCAGAUGCGAAAGCAGGACAUAGUGAUCCGGUGGUUCUGUAUGGAAGGGCCAUCGCUCAACGGAUAAAAGGUACUCUGGGGAUAACAGGCUGAUACCGCCCAAGAGUUCAUAUCGACGGCGGUGUUUGGCACCUCGAUGUCGGCUCAUCUCAUCCUGGGGCUGUAGCCGGUCCCAAGGGUAUGGCUGUUCGCCAUUUAAAGAGGUACGUGAGCUGGGUUUAAAACGUCGUGAGACAGUUUGGUCCCUAUCUUCCGUGGGCGCUGCAGAUUUGAGGAAGCCUGCUCCUAGUACGAGAGGACCGGAGUGGACGCACCUCUGGUGUAUCGGUUGUCACGCCAGUGGCAUUGCCGAGUAGCUAUGUGCGGAAGAGAUAACCGCUGAAAGCAUCUAAGCGGGAAACUCGUUUCAAGAUGAGAUCUGCCGGGGCCUUGAGCCCCCUGAAGAGUCGUUCAAGACCAGGACGUUGAUAGGUCGGGUGUGGAAGCGCAGUAAUGCGUUAAGCUAACCGAUACUAAUUGCUCGUGCGGCUUGACCCC